GCCGAUGUAGCUCAAGGGUAGAGCAGCGGUCUUGUAAACCGCAGGUUGGGGGUUCGAUUCCCCCCGUCGGCU
rnacentral:tRNA from 1 species